AGCAGCAGCCGCGGUAAUACAGAGGGUGCGAGCGUUAAUCGGAUUUACUGGGCGUAAAGCGUGCGUAGGCGGCUUUUUAAGUCGGAUGUGAAAUCCCUGAGCUUAACUUAGGAAUUGCAUUUGAUACUGGGAAGCUAGAGUAUGGGAGAGGAUGGUAGAAUUCCAGGUGUAGCGGUGAAAUGCGUAGAGAUCUGGAGGAAUACCGAUGGCGAAGGCAGCCAUCUGGCCUAAUACUGACGCUGAGGUACGAAAGCAUGGGGAGCAAACAGGAUUAGAUACCCGAGUAGUCCCUGUCUCUUAUAA
rnacentral:rRNA from 1 species